rnacentral:rRNA from 1 species
UACGUAGGGUGCAAGCGUUAUCCGGAAUUCCUGGGCGUAAAGCGUGCGCAGGCGGUGAUGUAAGACAGGUGUGAAAUCCCCGGGCUUAACCUGGGAACUGCAUUUGUGACUGCAUCGCUGGAGUGCGGCAGAGGGGGAUGGAAUUCCGCGUGUAGCAGUGAAAUGCGUAGAUAUGCGGAGGAACACCGAUGGCGAAGGCAAUCCCCUGGGCCUGCACUGACGCUCAUGCACGAAAGCGUGGGGAGCAAACAGG